CCUACGGGGGGCUGCAGUGGGGAAUAUUGGACAAUGGGGGGAACCCUGAUCCAGCCAUGCCGCGUGUGUGAAGAAGGCCCUCGGGUUGUAAAGCACUUUCAGUGAGGAAGAACGCCUGGUGGUUAAUACCCAUCAGGAAAGACAUCACUCACAGAAGAAGCGCCGGCUAACUCCGUGCCAGCAGCCGCGGUAAUACGGAGGGUGCGAGCGUUAAUCGGAAUUACUGGGCGUAAAGCGCGCGUAGGUGGCUUGAUAAGCCGGUUGUGAAAGCCCCGGGCUCAACCUGGGAACGGCAUCCGGAACUGUCAAGCUAGAGUGCAGGAGAGGAAGGUAGAAUUCCCGGUGUAGCGGUGAAAUGCGUAGAGAUCGGGAGGAAUACCAGUGGCGAAGGCGGCCUUCUGGACUGACACUGACACUGAGGUGCGAAAGCGUGGGUAGCAAACAGGAUUAGAUACCCGAGUAGUC
rnacentral:rRNA from 1 species